UGUUAAUCUGCUCACCCUCAGUGGAGUUCACUCUGUGAUGCUCAACCAGUGGGCCAGCAGCAGCAGGACUAAUACACACCAUUUGGAAGCCCUCAUGGAAAAUCUUCUGAAAACAGGAUUAACAUCUGGUCAAGCUGUCCAUACUUUGCAUGAGAGAGCAUCUUUUGCCCAGAGAGAGCCUGAAUGUGCUCUGAAUCAGGAUGCUGUACGAGACUGGAGUUCUUCUGCUUUCAACUUCAUUAUCUAUGGAUUACCUAAUUUAAUUGUCACCUGAACACAUGGGACAUUUAGGAAAUACUCACUUUAGGAAAC